UACAGAGGGUGCGAGCGUUGUCCGGAAUCACUGGGCGUAAAGGGCGCGUAGGCGGUCUCUUAAGCGUGUGGUGAAAGCCCGGGGCUCAACUCCGGGUCGGCCGUGCGAACUGGGGGACUGGAGCUUGUCAGAGGCAGGCGGAAUUCCGGGUGUAGCGGUGGAAUGCGUAGAGAUCCGGAAGAACACCGGUGGCGAAGGCGGCCUGCUGGGACAGUGCUGACGCUGAGGUGCGACAGCGUGGGGAGCAAACAGG
rnacentral:rRNA from 1 species